rnacentral:rRNA from 1 species
GACGAACGCUGGCGGCGUGCUUAACACAUGCAAGUCGAACGGAAAGGCCCUGCUUUUGUGGGGUGCUCGAGUGGCGAACGGGUGAGUAACACGUGAGUAACCUGCCCUUGACUUUGGGAUAACUUCAGGAAACUGGGGCUAAUACCGGAUAGGAGCUCCUGCUGCAUGGUGGGGGUUGGAAAGUUUCGGCGGUUGGGGAUGGACUCGCGGCUUAUCAGCUUGUUGGUGGGGUAGUGGCUUACCAAGGCUUUGACGGGUAGCCGGCCUGAGAGGGUGACCGGCCACAUUGGGACGGAGAUACGGCCCAGACUCCUACGGGAGGCAGCAGUGGGGAAUAUUGCACAAUGGGCGGAAACCUGAUGCAGCAACGCCGCGUGCGGGAUGACGGCCUUCGGGUUGUAAACCGCUUUCGCCUGUGACGAAGCGUGAGUGACGGUAAUGGGUAAAGAAGCACCGGCUAACUACGUG